rnacentral:rRNA from 1 species
AUUGAACGCUGGCGGCAUGCCUUACACAUGCAAGUCGAACGGCAGCACGGGUGCUUGCACCUGGUGGCGAGUGGCGAACGGGUGAGUAAUACAUCGGAACGUACCUUAUCGUGGGGGAUAACGCAGCGAAAGCUGUGCUAAUACCGCAUACGCCCUGAGGGGGCAAGCGGGGGAUCGAAAGACCUCGCGCGAUUAGAGCGGCCGAUGCCUGAUUAGCUUGUUGGUGGGGUAAAAGCCCACCAAGGCGACGAUCAGUAGCUGGUCUGAGAGGACGAUCAGCCACACUGGGACUGAGACACGGCCCAGACUCCUACGGGAGGCAGCAGUGGGGAAUUUUGGACAAUGGGGGCAACCCUGAUCCAGCAAUGCCGCGCGAGUGAAGAAGGCCUUCGGGUUGUAAAGCUCUUUUGUCAGGGAAGGAACACCGGCUCUAACACAGUCCGGGAAUGACGGUACCUGAAGAAUAAGCACCGGCUAACUACGUGCCAGCAGCCGCCGUAA